UCCUACGGGAGGCAGCAGUGGGGAAUUUUGGACAAGGGGGGCAACCCUGACCCAGCAAUCCCGCGUGUGUGAAGAAGGUUUUUGGGUUGUAAAGCAUUUUUGUCGGGAAAGAAAUGGCCUGGGUUAAUCCCCCGGGUUAAUGACGGUACCGGAAGAAUAAGCCCCGGCUAAUUACGUGCCAGCAGCCGCGGUAAUACGUAGGGUGCGAGCGUUAAUCGGAAUUACUGGGCGUAAAGCGUGCGCAGGGGGGUUGAAAAAACAAGCGUGAAAAAGCCGAGAAAAAAGAGAGGAAUAGGGGGGUGAGAAGGUCAGGCUAGAGUAGGUCAGAGGGGGGUAGAAUUCCACGUGUAGCAGUGAAAUGCGUAGAGA
rnacentral:rRNA from 1 species